CUAGGAUCACUACUACGGGUACUAAAUUUACGAACACGUAUAAUCUAUUUGCAAACAUCUAAAAGCAAAGCAAUUUUAAAAAAAUUUUUUACAUUUAGUAAAAUUCGAAGACUACACGAUAGGAAUAAAGAAAUAUAUAAAGAACUUAUCAAGAAUGAUGCCCCAUGCUGCUGUCGCGUACCAGUCGCCGAGUAACGACCUAUUUUUAGAUAUCAUUCGUGUAAAUAUAAAUCUCGUACUAUAAAUCUUUUCAUAUUGAAGUCCUAGAAUAAAAGUUUCUUAAAUAUUCUAUGAA